rnacentral:rRNA from 1 species
UACGGAGGGGGCGAGCGUUGCUCGGAAUUACUGGGCGUAAAGCGUGCGCAGGCGGUUCUCCAAGUCCGUUGUGAAAGCCCCGGGCUCAACCUGGGAAUGGCAGUGGAAACUAGGGGACUGGAAUCUGGCAGAGGGGGGUGGAAUGCCGCGUGUAGCAGUGAAAUGCGUAGAGAUGCGGCGGAACACCGAUGGCGAAGGCAGCCCCCUGGGCUGAGAUUGACGCUCAGGCACGAAAGCGUGGGGAGCAAACAGG